UGAACGCUGGCGGCGUGCUUAACACAUGCAAGUCGUACGAGAAAUCUCCUGCUUGCAGGAGAGAGUAAAGUGGCGCACGGGUGAGUAACACGUGGGUAAUCUACCUUCGAAUCUGGGAUAACGUCGCGAAAGCGAUGCUAAUACCGGAUAAUAUCUGAGAAAUUUCGGUUUUUCAGAUCAAAGAUGGCCUCUACAUGUAAGCUUUCGUUUGAAGAUGAGCCCGCGGGCCAUUAGCUUGUUGGUAGGGUAACGGCCUACCAAGGCUGCGAUGGCUAGCUGGUCUGAGAGGAUGAUCAGCCCACUGGAACAGGCACACGAUCCAGACUCCUACGGGAGGCAGCAGUGGGGAAUCUUGCGCAAUGGGGGAAACCCAGACGCAGCAACGCCGCGUGAGUGAAGGAAGCCAUCGGGUCGUAAAGCUCUGUCAAGUGGGAAGAUCCUGUUUUGUACACAGAAUGCAAAACACUGACUGUACCACUAAAGGAAGCACCGGCUAACUCC
rnacentral:rRNA from 1 species